rnacentral:rRNA from 1 species
GAUGAACGCUAGCUACAGGCUUAACACAUGCAAGUCGAGGGGAAACGACAUCGAAAGCUUGCUUUUGAUGGGCGUCGACCGGCGCACGGGUGAGUAACGCGUAUCCAACCUGCCCACCACUUGGGGAUAACCUUGCGAAAGUAAGACUAAUACCCAAUGACGUCCAUAGAAGACAUCUGAAAUGGAUUAAAGAUUUAUCGGUGAUGGAUGGGGAUGCGUCUGAUUAGCUUGUUGGCGGGGUAACGGCCCACCAAGGCGACGAUCAGUAGGGGUUCUGAGAGGAAGGUCCCCCACAUUGGAACUGAGACACGGUCCAAACUCCUACGGGAGGCAGCAGUGAGGAAUAUUGGUCAGUGGACGAGAGUCUGAACCAGCCAAGUAGCGUGCAGGAUGACGGCCCUAUGGGUUGUAAACUGCUUUUAUAAGGGAAUAAAGUGGGAGUCGUGACUCCUUUUGCAUGUACCUUAUGAAUAAGGACCGGCUAAUUCCGUGCCAGCAGCCGCAGUAA